UACCAGCACCCCGAGUGGUCGGGACGAUUAUUGGGCCUAAAGCAUCCGUAGCCGGUCAUGCAAGUCUUCCGUUAAAUCCAGCCGCUCAACGGUUGGGCUGCGGAGGAAACUACGUGGCUAGGAGGCGGGAGAGGCAAGCGGUACUCAGUGGGUAGGGGUAAAAUCCUUUGAUCCAUUGAAGACCACCAGUGGCGAAGGCGGCUUGCCAGAACGCGCUCGACGGUGAGGGAUGAAAGCUGGGGGAGCAAACCGG
rnacentral:rRNA from 1 species